AUAGGGAAGUUUGUUGCUGCCUGGAUGGUGGGUUGGGGAUGUUCUGUAGUGCAGAAGACAGAGAAGGGCCUCUCUGUGAACAACCCCUGAGUGAAAUAAGCCAUAACUGGAGGUUCCUCUGCUCUGGUACCGGAAGACUACACCUGAAUCCACAACAAGGCAGAGGAAAUGGAGGAGAAGGGCAAGGCCUGCCAGCGCCAUGUUUGCCACCUUGGGAUGGGUAGCUUCCCUUCACAGCCCAUCCCAGCUGCUGACAACUUCUUUCUGCAAGAUAUCAGCAACAGCUUUCCUCUGUGAAGUACUGAAGCACACAGAAGCAGAUUAAAGUCUGACCUAAUGUUGGGCACUGAGUGUUUUCUACACAGAGUCAGGGUGUGUAUUUUAGGAGCGUGGGAAGCACAUUUCUCCACAUGCUCACAUUCAUCUUCAGGACACAAUGUAGGUGUGGGAGCCUCGUGGUUUCUUGUGGAUGGAGCCACUACUAGUUACUCAUGGACUAGGUUGCCAGUGCUGAUUCAUGCUGGUGUUUUGCUAGUGGACUCAGCUGCUGACAGUGGAGAUUGGAAUUGCCUCAAAGAACUACUUUUAACCAGGUUCACAACCCAAUUGUCAUAUUAGCCAUCUUCCCCCCUACCUUUGUUCAGUGGGCUAUAAGGAAGGGUGAAUCGUUUAGAGACCUUUAUUAAAAUAGGCUUUGAAAAAUCUAAGCCUACAAGUUCCCUUCAAUAUCCAGUGUAUUUUCAUAGCUGUGUUAUCUGUGUCAUUGACAUUUAAAAAUUUAAAGUCAAUAAAGUAUUAUUCAAUCUA